rnacentral:lncRNA from 1 species
CAGAACUAUUUGCAGCUUUUAAUUAUGUGUACUUAAAAUGGAUUUGGUGUCCAGGACAUGUGGAGUUGAUAUCAAGUUGAAUUAUGUGCUGAUGUUCUUCGAUAGAAUAAUUGUUCUUCUCCUUUAAAAAUGAUGGACCAUUGACUUAUUUUUUUUAGAUGCUCAAAUACACACACAAACGACAUCCAGUAAGCACUUGGACACCCGGCAGAUUGAAAGUACAGAAGCAAAGAUAUCCAAUACGAGGCCACGAUGCCCGACAGAGACACGGCCAAUACGCUCCUAAUCUUUAUUUCUUGAUUUUGGAACCACAAGUAAGAGCAUGUUCAUGUUUACUUAUUAUGUUUUUUUUGGAGAAAUUUUGGGGAUUUACAAGCUGAAAUUAUUGACUGUUUGAAAAAAAUGUUUUAACCAAAACUGUUUGAACAAUGUUGCCCUGGUUCUGCAUUCAUGGAAUUGCUAAAAAAGUUGAACAAGUUCAGUCAGAGUUUUGUCCCUGUUAAUAUUCAGUUCGAAGUGCCAGUUUGUUUCCACUUGCUCAUCUUAAUGUUGAACUAUACAUGUACUUAUCUUUAAAGUUCUGUUGUCUUCAUGAACUAAUUAGAUUUUUCAGCACUACUGAACUAAUUGGAUGCCAUCUUAAAUUACCUUCCCUUUGACAUUAUUGUACAGAUUCCUGAAAGACUGCCCAGUGUUUCAGCUGCGUACAUGUCUACAACAAUACUAGCAGAUCUGAAUUUGUGUUGCUAAGGUGUAGACUGACCUGACUUCGAGGGAAAAACAUGAAGAUUAGAGUGCCCUUUUUUCCCUUCCAAUUCCAUUUUCAGCAGCUAUCAGACAUGCAUAGAAAAUGUACUUUUGAGUACUUACAAUAUUAUUUUGCUACCUGCAGAGUUGUUCGAGUGGUAAUUUGUUUUACAAAUUUCUACAACAGGUUGCAUCAGCGGUUCACAACGGAGGAAGCUGUGGCGACUGCUACUGCGGCAACAAGGCGCUAGCUAGCUAGGUGUACCUGAAACAAUAAGUUUGCUUUUCACUUCAGAAUUCGGAGGAAGUCAACGUUUGUUUUGUAGUUCAAACCAACCACUGGUUGAA